rnacentral:tRNA from 1 species
GGGCUUGUAACAUAACUUGGAUAGUGUAGUGGGCUUCGGACCCACGUAUCAGGGUUCAAAUCCCUGCAAGCCCA